UACGAAGGGGGCUAGCGUUGCUCGGAAUCACUGGGCGUAAAGGGUGCGUAGGCGGGUCUUUAAGUCGGGGGUGAAAUCCUGGAGCUUAACUCCGGAGGGUCGGUGGAUACUGCCAGUCUUGAAGGUGCUAGGGGGAGAUGGAAUUACCGGUGUAGCGGUGAAAUGCGUAGAUAUCGGUAGGAACACCAGUGGCGAAGGCGGUCUCCUGGGGCAUUCUUGACGCUGAGGCGCGAAAGCUGGGGGAGCAAACGGG
rnacentral:rRNA from 1 species